GACGAACGCUGGCGGCGUGCUUAACGCAUGCAAGUCGAACGGUGAACCUCUUCGGAGGGGAUCAGUGGCGAACGGGUGAGUAACACGUGGGCAACCUGCCCCCGGCUCUGGGAUAACUCCAAGAAAUUGGGGCUAAUACCGGAUGUUCACCGCUUCCCGCAUGGGUGGUGGUGGAAAGGGUUUCCGGCUGGGGAUGGGCCCGCGGCCUAUCAGCUUGUUGGUGGGGUAGUGGCCUACCAAGGCGACGACGGGUAGCCGGCCUGAGAGGGUGACCGGCCACACUGGGACUGAGACACGGCCCAGACUCCUACGGGAGGCAGCAGAGGGGAAUAUUGCGCAAUGGGCGGAAGCCUGACGCAGCGACGCCGCGUGGGGGAUGACGGCCUUCGGGUUGUAAACCUCUUUCAGCAGGGACGAAGCGCAAGUGACGGUACCUGCAGAAGAAGCACCGGCCAACUACGUG
rnacentral:rRNA from 1 species